rnacentral:misc_RNA from 1 species
CCGCCUCGACCGCCCUCCUCCUUCCCCCGCCACCCCCUCCUCCACCUCUCUAUCCUCGACAUCGUGCUCCGGCUCGCUCGACCUUUCCAUCAACCUUCUAUCCUCUUUGUGCGCCGCGCCACGAAUACCGACAAGCGAUCCGUGAUUCGUCCUUAUACCCCUCACCGACGAGCAGGAUGUUGGCAUCUUCGGCUGAAAGUCCGACCCAGAGAAACCCAGUGUCACGCGAACCCCGCGCGUACGACUCGCUGCUGCUUCUCUUCGGAAAGAGGAAUUUCUAUCGGAACCUGUGAAUGAUUCUGAAGGGGUCGUUUCGUGGUGGCGCGUUUGGGGUUAGUGACCCGUAUAGCAGGUAUUACGAAGCGAGGGGUUAAAAACAACAUUAACGAAAGCGAUGGUUAACGAAACAAAGACGAUGAAAGAAACAAGACUAAGAAGAGAGAAAACCUUCGAUCUAAAAAUACCAGCUAAAAAUACGAUCUAUCUCUAUAAAAUAAAAUAGUAACCCUAACCUACCUGGAAUUUAACUGAACAUUAUACAAUUAUGAGUUUCGAAUUCUAUCGGAAUGAUUAACGAAACAAAGAAGAAGACGUAAUAAAGCUGAAAGCAGAGAACGAGCGUGCCUUCGAUAAUCC